rnacentral:rRNA from 1 species
CCUACGGGAGACAGCAGUGAGGAAUAUUGGUCAAUGGACGCGAGUCUGAACCAGCCAAGUAGCGUGAAGGAUGACUGCCCUACGGGUUGUAAACUUCUUUUAUAUGGGAAUAAAGUGAGGCACGUGUGCCUUUUUGUAUGUACUUUAUGAAUAAGGAUCGGCUAACUCCGUGCCAGCAGCCGCGGUAAUACGGAGGAGCCGAGCGUUAUCCGGAUUUAUUGGGUUUAAAGGGAGCGUAGAUGGGUUGUUAAGUCAGUUGUGAAAGUUUGCGGCUCAACCGUAAAAUUGCAGUUGAAACUGGCAGCCUUGAGUACAGUUGAGGUAGGCGGAAUUCGUGGUGUAGCGGUGAAAUGCUUAGAUAUCACGAAGAACUCCGAUUGCGAAGGCAGGUUACCAAACUGCAACUGACAUUGAGGCUCGAAAGUGUGGGUAUCAAACAGGAUUAGAUACCCGGGUAGUC